CGAGUGGCGGACGGGUGAGUAACGUCUGGGAAACUGCCCGAUGGAGGGGGAUAACUACUGGAAACGGUAGCUAAUACCGCAUAACGUCGCAAGACCAAAGAGGGGGACCUUCGGGCCUCUUGCCAUCGGAUGUGCCCAGAUGGGAUUAGCUAGUAGGUGGGGUAAAGGCUCACCUAGGCGACGAUCCCUAGCUGGUCUGAGAGGAUGACCAGCCACACUGGAACUGAGACACGGUCCAG
rnacentral:rRNA from 1 species